rnacentral:tRNA from 1 species
GGGAGAGUGGCUGAGUGGCUAAAAGCGGCAGAUUGUAACUCUGUUGAAAUUUCUUCUUCGCAGGUUCGAAUCCUGCCUUUCCCA